UUCCUGAGAUGCCCGCCUGGUGUGAAGAAGCCUCGCUGGGCUGCUCCUGUGGGUAAAGAUAAAGGCUUCACAGGGGUGUCUUUUGGAGCGCAUGCUCACCGGCACCCCCAGUGACCUCGCGGAGCUCGGCAGACCCACGCCUGGGGUGGGGCGAAAGGAAAGUGCAGGGAAUUCGCUGUGUUCCGCGUGUCCCCGGGUCCCGGUGGGGCUGGCCUUUUUCCUUUCCUUUUUUGCACUGCUGGGGUUGGAACACAGGACCUUGCCCCUGGUAGGCAAGUGCUCUGCUAUUGAACUAUGUCCUCAGGCCUGGUCUUCCUUCUCUCUAUUUUUCAGAAUCAUCUUAUAUUUAAUUUUUGAAGGAUAUUUUAACUGUACUUAACAGGAAAAUAGGGAACAUAUCUACCACUAAUUGCUUUAAAGUGUUUUCUGUGUUUCAUUCUUAAUCUCACCUAGAAGCUUAAGUAAAAACCCUACCCUAUCACCUGAAUGUUUGUGCCCACCUGUGUCACCUGGAAUUCUGUUCAGCACCAAGGCAAUGACAUUCGGAAGGUGUUGAGACUGGCCGAGGCAGUCAUGAACGGGAUCAGUUCCGUUAUAAAAGGGACCCCAGAGAGCUGCCUCGCCCGCUCUACAUGAGGAGACAGUGAGAAGGCACCAUCUGCGGGACAAUGGCCUGUCCCCAGAUGCUGUCUUCACUGGCACCUUGGAGCUGAGAAAUAAAUUUCUGUUGUUUAUGAGCCACUCAGGUUACAGCGAUCUGUUCCAGCAGCCUGAACGGACUAAGCCUUAGCUGAGCCUUACUUCCCUCCUAAGUCUGCUCGGGUCAGUCCCUGAAGCACACACAAAGGCUCUUCCCAUCUGCACCUCCGUCGGCCUAGAAGCAUAAGUCCGUCCUUGUCACCACUCUUCAAAGACCGGGAAUCUAAAUGGUUUUCAUUGCACUUGGAAUAAAACGUGAAUGCCUAGCCGUGGCCUGUGAAGUCUGCACACAUCGGCACCUGUCUGUCCCACUACGUCUCCUCCCUUACCAAGGCUCGUGUGGGUGACAGCAGAACGCUGGCUGGAAGUCAGACCCAGUCUGCCUCAGCGUGCUGGUGAGGAAGCUACGGGAAGCUUCUUUCAGCGGGAGGACCCAGACGCUGAGAGAUGAGGAGCUAGAGGGCUAAUUUUGCUGUGUGUGCUGCGGUGAUUUCGAAAAGCUUAUAGAGAAGGUGACGUUGAACUUGGCUUUGAGAGAAUAUCCUUUUUCCAGGUGCCGCAGAGGCGAUAAGAGCCUUCCAGACAGAGCAGAGGGCGGGGGAGGCAGAGGGGCUUGGAGAGCACGUUUGCCUUGCUCGCUGAGAGCAGGCGGGGCGUUCACAGCGCCUGCUGAAGUCAGCCUGACAGUGAGUCUGGCUGAAUAUUCUCUCAGAUAGGUUUAAUUUUCGGAGUCAAUGACUUUCUGAUCUGCCCGAGUCAGGAAAAUGUGCCUUCCCCGCAGGCAGACUCUCCAUGUGAGCGCCCUGCGAGGGCAGCAAGAGGACGGGGUGUCGGGUGGCGGGGAAGGAAACGCACGGCGACCCCGCUUGGCUCGUGCAGCGUUCGGGCAGGAUGUCCUCACUCCCUGCAGCACGACUGCGGCCGGGAGUCCCUGGACUGGGAACCUCUCCCCGUGGGUGAAACCUCGCAGAUCCCAGCGGGAGGAGAAGCACACUGCGUCUUCGUGAGGCACGCUUGCGGUCUUCCCUCUGUGCAGCCCGAGGCCCUCGGGGAACAAGGGAGCGGCCGUUUGCUGUGAGAAGAUGGGAAGGAGGAGUCCGAGGGCCGCAUCCAUGCCAGAGUGUGCAGCGAGGACUCUCGGGCUUUGUGUGUUUGGGUCUUCCCAGCAUCAUUCUCUUUACAGAUUAGCUCCCUGAGGCACACAGAAGGUCGUAGCCCUCGGAGCUCGCACUGCUUGCAACAGUAAGACUGGAAUUCGGAACCACUCACAGCUCACGCUCCCUGCUGACUCUGAGAAUAAUCCUGCCUCUCCGGCCCAGGAGUUGCCUCUUUUGUUGAGGGGUGGGGCUUGAGAUAGGGUCUCACUAUGUAGAGUGGGUUGGCCUUGAGUUCUUUUACACAGCCUACGCUGGCCUCAGACUCUUGGCAAAGCUCCUGCCUCAGCUUUCUGAGUGCUGGGGUUAUAGGCACGAGCCGCCGCGCCUGGCCAGGAGUUGUGUCUUUGACCUUAGCUGUGUGCUAUCUUUCUAAGGUAGUCAGGAACAGAAGCAUUGUCUACAUAGACUGCUAGAAUCCUUGAUGAAAUGGUGUGCCAGUCAGAUAUCUAAAGUAGCUUUCGUGCUGUCUUCCUAUGGUAAGUCUGGGGCUUGGAGACACUCAGGCAUUUUCAUUGGAUAGCACGUCCCAGCCGGUGCACAGGAGCGUAAAGCACGAGUCAGGCUACCGUGGUGGGUGUGAACUGGCUGAAGCCCACUGUCCUUGGGAAGGCUCGUGUGCUCUUCGCCACGUUCCCUCCUUGCUCGUACUUGGGUCCCUUGGAAGCAGCAAGCAUGACUCCUUGAGUCUGUCACCCAGAAAAGAGGGCUGUAAUCCCCAGGGAGAUGGCCUCUUCCUGUGUGCUGUAUAUGUUUUGUUCUCUUCAGAUUGUUUUUUUUUCUCUUUGAGACAGGGUUUC